UUUUGUCUCAGGAGAGGCUCUUCCAGGAUUCUUUGGAGAUACGGUGGAUUCCAUAGCUGGAGGAGGGAAGGGACAGGAUGAGCCUUCCCAGUGCUGAUGU